GACGAACGCUGGCGGCGUGCUUAACACAUGCAAGUCGAACGGAAAGGCCCUGCUUUUGUGGGGUGCUCGAGUGGCGAACGGGUGAGUAACACGUGAGUAACCUGCCCUUGACUUUGGGGUAACUUCAGGAAACAGGGGCUAAUACCGGAUAGGAGCUCCUGCUGCAUGGUGGGGGUUGGAAAGUUUCGGCGGUUGUGGAUGGACUCCGGGCGUAUCCGCUGGUUGGUGGGGUAGUGGGUUACCAAGGCUUUGACGGGUAGCCGACCUGAGCGGGGGAUCGGCCGCACGGGAGCGGGGACGCGGUCCAGACUACUGCGGGAGGGCGCAGUCGGCAAUCUUAGGCAGUAGGCGAAAGCAUUACGGAGCGAGGCCGCGUGAGUGACAGAGGUCUUCGGUUCGUGAAGCUCUGUUUUGGGGGAAAAACAACUGUGUAAUUAACUAUACCCGUAUUGACGGUACCUAAUCAGAAAGCCACGGCUAACUACGUG
rnacentral:rRNA from 1 species